rnacentral:rRNA from 1 species
UACGGGGGGGGCUAGCGUUGUCCGGAAUUAUUGGGCGUAAAGAGCUUGUAGGCGGUCUGUCGCGUCUGCUGUGAAAAUCCGGGGCUCAACCCCGGACUUGCAGUGGGUACGGGCAGACUAGAGUGUGGUAGGGGAGACUGGAAUUCCUGGUGUAGCGGUGAAAUGCGCAGAUAUCAGGAGGAACACCGAUGGCGAAGGCAGGUCUCUGGGCCACUACUGACGCUGAGAAGCGAAAGCAUGGGGAGCGAACAGG